AGCAAGAUUUUACUGUAUAUUAACCAGACAUGGGGCGAUUACUUAUGUUAUGUAAUCAAUUACGAUUAUGAUUACUUCAUAUUUUCACGAUUGCGAUUACAAUUACAAUAAAAUUAAGUGUAAUCAAUUACGAUUACGAUUAUAUGAUGUAUUAAUCAUGACUACAGGAAGGACUGAAAGGUGAACUUGCAAAUUUCACACAUGUACCAUACUGAAUAUUUAAUUGGUUGAAUUACUAUAGAUAUUUAGAGUACAUACUUGCUGUACGAGAAACUAUUAACUAAACUUUGCUAAUGUAAUCACAAAAGUAAUCACGAUUACAGUUGUACUUUUAUAAUGUAUUCGAUUACGAUUACGAUUAUUUAAAAAAAAUAAGAGGGUAAUCGAUUAAGAUUACUUGAAAAACUGUAAACGAUUGUAAUUGAUUACGAUUACUUGAAAAACUGUAAACGAUUGUAAUUGAUUACGAUUACUUGAAAAACUGUAAACAAUUGUAAUUGAUUACGAUUACUUGAAAAACUGUAAACAAUUGUAAUUGAUUACGAUUACCCCAUGUCUGAUAUGAACAUGAUUCAUAACGCAGCAUGACUAAAGUAAAAAGAAAGGAUAUAUUAAUUAACAUGAUUCAUAACGCAGCAUGACUAAAGUAAAGAAGAAGAGGAUAUAUUAAUUAACAUGAUUCAUAACGCAGCAUGACUAAGGUAAAGAAGAAGAGGAUAUAUUAAUUAACAUGAUUCAUAACGCAGCAUGACUAAGGUAAAGAAGAAGAGGAUAUAUUAAGUAACAUGAUUCAUAACACAGCAUGACUAAGGUAAAGAAGAAGAGGAUAUAUUAAGUAACAUGAUUCAUAACACAGCAUGACUAAGGUAAAGAAGAAGAGGAUAUAUUAAGUAACAUGAUUCAUAACACAGCAUGACUAAGGUAAAGAAGAAGAGGAUAUAUUAAGUAACAUGAUUCAUAACGCAGCAUGACUAAGGUAAAGAGGAAGAGGAUAUAUUAAGUAACAUGAUUCAUAACGCAGCAUGACUAAGGUAAAGAAGAAGAGGAUAUAUUAAUUAACAUGAUUCAUAACACAGCAUGACUAAGGUAAAGAAGAAGAGGAUAUAUUAAUUAACAUGAUUCAUAAUGCAGCAUGACUAAGGUAAAGAGGAAGAAGAACAAGAAGAAGAAGAGGAACAAGACCAGGAGCAUUAUCCAGGGUCUGUGUAAAGCCUUUCUCUAAGCCCGCCCUGCACGCGGAGUUGUUGGUUGUGGCGCCACACGUCUCAGAGCUGGAGGGCUUCCUGGCCCGCCGCUGCCCCUCCAUCUCCGGGGCCAGGCUCUGGAGCUUCUUCUCAGCCUACUGGAGGGAUUUGAGGGGAGGAAAAAGGAAAUCAAUCAAAGUUCUUCCUCACUAAAGAUGUCACUUAAUAUGAACUAAAUACUGGCAGCCUCUUUGCUAUUUUUUGCCUUCAUUAAAUUCCUGGAGGGUCUGAGAGGAGGAAAAAGGAGUAUGAGUAACAGCAAAGGCACAGCUCUGCCUCACCAUAAGAUGUCAUUUACAGCAACUAAAAACACUGCGGCCAGCUUCCUAACUAUUUCUGGCCUUUGUUGAAUAAUUCCUGGAGGGUCUGGGAGGAGGGAGGGGAGAAGGGGCAGAGGGAAAGGAGGAAAGAAGGGAACAGGAGAGAAGGAGGAAAGAAGGGAAGGAGUGGCAAAAUCACAGCUCUUCCUCACCAAUAGAUGUCAUUUAUACCAACUAAAAAAUGCUGGCAGGUUCCUAACUAUUUCUUGCCCCUGACAUAUUUCUGAUGCUGGCAGGUUCCUAACUAUUUCUUGCCCCCGACAUAUUUCUGAUGCUGGCAGGUUCCUAACUAUUUCUUGCCCUGACAUAUUUCUGAUGCUGGCAGGUUCCUAACUAUUUCUUGCCCCUGACAUAUUUCUGAUGCUGGCAGGUUCCUAACUAUUUCUUGCCCCUGACAUAUUUCUGAUGCUGGCAGGUUCCUAACUAUUUCUUGCCCCUGACAUAUUUCUGAUGCUGGCAGGUUCCUAACUAUUUCUUGCCCCUGACAUAUUUCUGAAGUGUUCUGGGGGGAGGAAAAAGGUGACAGGAGCACUGGAGAAAGUGAAGCUCUUCCUUACUAAAAGAUGUUGAUUAAUAAUAACAAAAAAAAAUCAUUGGCAGCUUCUAUGUUAUUUCCUGCCUCUGU